rnacentral:lncRNA from 1 species
CAUUCAUAUUCAUUUCUGAAUAGUAAAAUGAAAAUACUUCAGCUAACUGUGAAUGUAGAUUUUUUUGCAGUGUUAGAAAGUGGUGAAAAUUCUAAAAAGGCUAUGAGUAUCCCUUAUGGGCCAGGAAAUGCUACCGUGCUCCCUUUGCAAGCAGUCAAAUGGAUUAAAGUAUUCUAUCAGGAGCAAGUAAGUUGAUACAUUUGUCUUCAUAAUCCAUUAAAGAACACUAGGAACGUAACCAUUAAAAAAAAUCUCCAUUAUUUGGAAUUUACUUUUAAAGAAUUCAUAUGUAAAGUCAGUAUCGAGUAAACGCAUUAGUAAAAGAGGGACGAAAGAAACCAGAGAGACAGUCAAACUCAUAAAUCGAAAAUAAACUGACAACGCCAUGGCUAAAAAUGAAAAGGACAAACAGACAAACAAUAGUACACAUGACACAACAUAGAAAACUAAAGAAUAAACAAC